rnacentral:rRNA from 1 species
CAAGGCAGACGGCUCAGUAACGCGUAGUCAACCUACCCUAUGGACGGGGAUAACCUCGGGCAAACUGAGAAUAAUACCCGAUAGAACACUAUACCUGGAAUGGUUUGUGUUCCAAACAAUUUAUUGCCGUAGGAUGGGACUGCGGCCUAUCAKUUUGUUGGUGAGGUAAUGGCCCACCAAGACUAUUACAGGUACGGGCUCUGAGAGGAGUGGCCCGGAGAUGGGUACUGAKACACGGACCCAGGCCCUAUGGGGCGCAGCAGGCGAGAAAACUUUGCAAUGUGCGAAAGCACGACAAGGUUAAUCCGAGUGGUUUCUGCUAAAGGAACCUUUUGACAGUCCUAGAAACACUGUUGAAUAAGGGGUGGGCAAGUUCUGGUGUCAGCCGCCGCGGUAAAACCAGCACCUCMMGUGGUCAGGAUGAUUAUUGNGCCUAAAGCAUCCGUAGCCGGCUCUGUAAGUUUUCGGUUAAAUCUKUACKCUUAACGUACAGGCUGCUGGGAAUACUGCAGGGCUUAGGGGAGUGGUAGAGGUAGACGGUACUUC